UACGAAGGGGGCUAGCGUUGCUCGGAAUUACUGGGCGUAAAGCGUGCGCAGGCGGUUUUGUAAGUUUGUCGUGAAAUCCCCGGGCUCAACCUGGGAAUGGCGAUGAAGACUGCAAGGCUAGAAUCUGGCAGAGGGGGGUAGAAUUCCACGUGUAGCAGUGAAAUGCGUAGAGAUGUGGAGGAACACCGAUGGCGAAGGCAGCCCCCUGGGUCAAGAUUGACGCUCAUGCACGAAAGCGUGGGGAGCAAACAGG
rnacentral:rRNA from 1 species